GCGCACCCGGCGCCCCGCCCCGCGCAGCCUCCUCCCGCCCCGCGGCGCUCGGUGGAGGAAUCGUCUAGAAGGAGUCUCACUUUGAGAAAAUCCCCUGUCUGGCAUCCACAUGGUGAAAUCACAAGGCCAAAGAGACAAGAAAUGUGGCUGUGACAAAGAAUAUGGCAAAGAAGGAGCUGCUGCAUCCUACAGGACUCAUCAGAUGCACUGUCAGGACCCAGCCAAGAACGUCGGAUGUCAACCUGUAGGAACGCCCGCAGUGCACUCCUGUGAGCCGGCGAGGAGCGCUGAGUGCGGAGAAGCGGAAAUCGCUGAGGGCGGUGAGAACAGGUUAGGGAGCAGGUGCAGAAUAAUGUGGACUCUUCCCUCUUUUGCUCUGACAAGUUUAAACUUUAAGUGAUUUGGGGGCAGAGAUCACAUCUAUUACCUCCCUUUUGUAGUUUCUAAGAGCUUAUUAGGUAAUAUUUUAAAAUGCUUGAUGAUUAGAGUGAAGAAAUGUCACACAGGGCCUCAGAGCAACCUGGGGCCUCUGGGAGCGGCCAGGAUGACUUUGGAGAGAAGCCUCUGUCGUCUUCACCUCCUCAGAAGUGAUGGAUGGAGUCUGAUCAUAAUUAAUUUUAAUAGAGGCUUGAUGUGCUGUGAUAGAAUCUUGGCCAUUCAAAUGAAGUAGAACCAAGCGGCCAGCUUGAACAAAAAUCGCCUCUGUUCUGUCUCGUCCACUGGCAUUAGAACAAGUCAAGUCUACUUAAGAAAUAUUUCGGGAGUGAUUUUAUGCCUAACACUACAGAAAAGAAUAGGAAAGGACUCUGUCUGACAUUCCCUGUCAGAGCUGGACAGACCAGACCAGAAAUAUAAUAGAUGCAUAAUACGGACAGCCUGCGCAGGUCUGACGUGCAGCAUCACCAAGUUGUGCAGAUGGUCUGGAAUCCGUGCAUUCUUGCCACAGUUGUUUCUUAAGUGUCUAUUAAGUGCCAGACAGUCUAGCUGCUGGGAGGACCACAGCACUUAAGGCAGAGGAAGUCCCUGGCUUUGGGGAACAUUCUAGUGCUUAAAGCAAAUGAAUUUAUUACCUCUAUCAUUUCAGGUAAUGAUAACAAAGCAGGCUAAGGGGAGGAAGAGAAAUUGGGGUCCAGAUAGGGAGCAUCAACCGCAGGCCUCUCUGAGGUUACCUGGAGGAAUGAAGUGAGCAAGGGAGAACGGCAGGUACAAAGGGGAAAGGAGCGUCCAGCAGCCAAGGCCUGGGUGGCUGGAGUGGGGUGGGGAAGUGGAGAGGGGCAGCAGCAGGCAAUGGGCUGAGUCAGGUGGGGCCUUGCAGAAACUGAUAGGCCAUUCAGGUUCCUGGGAGCCGACACUGAGAUAGACAGCUGCGUGCAGCCCGAGCGUCCGCCCAGCCCUGUGAGCAAGUGCGGGGUAGGGCUGGGCAGCAGGAGGUGGGGUGUCACCUCCACAGGGACCCCAGAUGAUCCUUCUUGAGACUCUGGGGUUGGGAUGACCCAUCAGAAUUUUUUUUACAGAGACAAAGAGCAGGCCCUUGUGAGCUGCCCUCUAUGGACAGCUCCUGGGAGCUGUGGUGGGAGAGCCGCGUGGUGGAGGGCAGCUGACAAGCAGAAACCCCAGAAGCUGGCGUGAGGGUGCCUCAGUCCUGAAGGGGGACCUGGUGGCACGGCACAGCAUCCACAAAGGGCCACCCAUGGUUUGUUCUCAGAACUUUCCUUCAAGUGAUGCACUUGUAUUUCCUGUGGGCAGCAGGAAACAGGCUCAGGAGGCGUGGGCAGCCUGUGGAAGAUCACAUACCCAGCAGACGUUGGAUUUGAACUCUCUGAAUUCAAAGACCAUAACUUGAAAACAUUGAGACAAAAUACACGUGCAUAAAAUGUAUCCCUUUAAGAGCUAAGUGUGCCGUGGCAUUAAGGAGCUCCACCUCAUGUAACCGUCACUACCAUCCGUCUUGAGGAAUUGUUUACAUCUUGCAAAAUGAAGCUCUGUGCCCAUGAAAUCAUAACCUCUCAUUUCCCCUCCCCCAGUCCCUCGUAGCGACUUUUCUCCUUUCUGUCUUUAUGAGUUUGACCAUCUAGGUGCCUCCUGUGAGUGAGCUCACACAGUAGUGUCCUUCUGUGACUCAUUCCCUUAGCAUGAUGUCUCAGAGGCCCAGGACGUCACAGCACACGUCAGACUUUUCAAGGCUGAGCAUCCAUCCUUUGGCUAUACCAUGGGUUGUGUAUUUCUUCAUCUGGUGAUGAUGAAUGGCUGUUUCUGCCUCUUACCUAGUGUGCAUAAUACUGUCAUGAACAUGGUGUUCAAAUAUCUCAAGAUCCUCCCUCCCUUCCGCGCUGCCUCUCUUCCAUUCCCUCCCGUUCCCCACCCACCAUAUCCCGAGAGCUGUUAUCCAAAUGGGUGUGAAGUGGUUUUACAUCAUGCACUUUUCCUUCCACUGUGCUGUAGCUCACAAAGGAAUCUGAGAGCGUGAAUCCAGUUCCUCCAUUCCACUUGUGAGUGCAAAUGGUGACAACACUUGGUCAAGACUCAAUUCAAUUAAUGUCUCUGGAUUCACAGUGAACUACAGAAAGUCACAUUCCAAUAUUCCCUAAGGCAUGCAGACAACCAGAGAAUGAAAGUUUGUCACGGUGUGCAGAAUCAGUUGUGUUGAUUCGUAGAGCAUUUCAUCUCUACAACAAAAUGGGUUAGACAAGCCAGUUGCGAAGGAAAGAGGUUCAUUUCAGCUCACAGUUUGGGAGGUGGGCUCCAUUUGGUCUGCACCUGGUGAUGGAAGAGACUUGCUGGCAGAGUCCCUGGGGGUACAGGGUAGCGCCUGGUGAAAGGGAGGGUGUGCGUCUGUCUGUCUGUCUCUCCUUAUAAAGCCACUGUGAUUUGAUCAGGAGGUUACCACCCUAACAACCUCCUCCUCUAAUCACUUCCCAAGGGCCCCACUUUCAGACACCGUAAUUGGAUUAAGUUUACGCCCUCUUAAUGCCAUUAAUAGAGGACUUUGGGGACCAAACCUUUAACACAUAGGCCACUGGGGGACAGUCAACAUCCAAGCUAAUAUCCAAACCAUAGCAGCAGAUUUGAACAUUUUUGCUCAAGGAGCCAAAAAUAGUUUAGAAGAUUCUGCUCCUCAUUGCACAUUUUAAAAUGGAUAUCUAUAAUUUUAUCAUAAAUUUAAAUACUUUCAAAGAAUGUAAUUUCUAGCAUAUUGUAAAUAUUGACAUUUUAAAAUAAACCUGUGACAUCACUCUUUUAAAUGUGUCUAAGUGGAAUCUAAAUCCCAUCACAGUUUACUUCCACCAUCAUCCAAUUAAGAAAUAUACAAACAAGCUCAUCUUUAGCAAGCAAAAAGUGCAUUCUGUUUUCUCCUUGAAAUUUUAUUUCCACUCUACUUCCCCUUCAGAAUUUUAUGCUAAUGUAAUAAUAUUAUGAUAGAAAUAUCUUUUACUGAAUAUUCCAUAGUGCUUUUAUCUAGCAUAUGUAUAAAAAUUAAAAUUUGCAUGCUUGAAAAAUCCUGUA